rnacentral:rRNA from 1 species
GACGAACGCUGGCGGCGUGCUUAACACAUGCAAGUCGAACGGAAAGGCCCUGCUUUUGUGGGGUGCUCGAGUGGCGAACGGGUGAGUAACACGUGAGUAACCUGCCCUUGACUUUGGGAUAACUUCAGGAAACUGGGGCUAAUACCGGAUAGGAGCUCCUGCUGCAUGGUGGGGGUUGGAAAGUUUCGGCGGUUGGGGAUGGACUCGCGGCUUAUCAGCUUGUUGGUGGGGUAGUGGCUUACCAAGGCUUUGACGGGUAGCCGGCAUGAGAGGGUGACCGGCCACAUUGGGACUGAGGUACGGCCCAGACUCCUACGGGAGGCAGCAGUGGGGAAUAUUGCACAAUGGGCGGAAGCCUGAUGAAGCAACGCCGCGUGCGGGAUGACGGCCUUCUGGUUGUAAACCGCAUUCGCCUGUGACGAAGCGUGAGUGACGGUAAUGGGUAAAGAAGCACCGGCUAACUACGUG